rnacentral:rRNA from 1 species
UGCUAGUUGCACGAGUUCAUACUCGUGGCGAAAAGCUCAGUAACACGUGGCCAAACUACCCUACAGAGAACGAUAACCUCGGGAAACUGAGGCUAAUAGUUCAUACGGGAGUCAUGCUGGAAUGCCGACUCCCCGAAACGCUCAGGCGCUGUAGGAUGUGGCUGCGGCCGAUUAGGUAGACGGUGGGGUAACGGCCCACCGUGCCGAUAAUCGGUACGGGUUGUGAGAGCAAGAGCCCGGAGACGGAAUCUGAGACAAGAUUCCGGGCCCUACGGGGCGCAGCAGGCGCGAAACCUUUACACUGCACGCAAGUGCGAUAAGGGGACCCCAAGUGCGAGGGCAUAUAGUCCUCGCUUUUCUCGACUGUAAGGCGGUCGAGGAAUAAGAGCUGGGCAAGACCGGUGCCAGCCGCCGCGGUAAUACCGGCAGCUCAAGUGAUGACCGAUAUUAUUGGGCCUAAAGCGUCCGUAGCCGGCCACGAAGGUUCAUCGGGAAAUCCGCCAGCUCAACUGGCGGGCGUCCGGUGAAAACCACGUGGCUUGGGACCGGAAGGCUCGAGGGGUACGUCCGGGGUAGGAGUGAAAUCCCGUAAUCCUGGACGGACCACCGAUGGCGAAAGCACCUCGAGAAGACGGAUCCGACGG